rnacentral:rRNA from 1 species
CCUGACGGUAGUCGUAUGCUCGUCUCCGAGACUAAGCCAUGCAAGUCCAAGUACACGUCCUUGAACGACGGAAACUGCGAACGGCUCAUUAAAUCAGUUGCGAUCUACUCGGCGUUCCGCGCCGCCGGAUAACCGUAGUAAUUCUAGGGCUAAUACGUGCGAAGCGCCCGAAGCCGCGAGGCGACGGGCGUUCUCGCCGGAUGUAGGAACCGACCCGGGGACCGCCGGGGGCAACCCCGGCGCCCCCCGAGACGGGGCGAACCACGGUGAAAUGACGGAUCGUCGGCCCCGCGCCGGCGACUCGCCGAAUGAGUUUCUGACCUAUCAACUCGAGACGGCGGGGUAGAGGCCCGCCGCGGUAACGACGGGUAACGGGGAAUCAGGGUUCGAUUCCGGAGAGGGAGCCCCGAGAAACGGCUACCACUUCCCAAGGAAGGCAGCAGGCGCGCAACUUACCCUAAUCUCGAUUCGA